rnacentral:misc_RNA from 1 species
CCUGAACGCGAUACCGGCAUUCCAUGCGGCAAACGAAACAAAAAGAAAGAAGGAAGUCUUUUUACCAAAUAACUAUUCAUUACAAGCACCAAAAUGAGCGAAAACGGGGAUGCAACUUCAAAAUCACCUUCACAUAAUGAUUCCCCAGCUAGAUCUGAGGGUUCUAGGAAGAAGAGGUCACGGUCAAGGUCAAAGUCGUACUCAAGAUCCAGGUCAAGGUCUCGUUCACGUCAUCAUAGAAAGAGGAGGUCAUACACCAGGUCCAGAAGUAGGUCACGAUCCAGAUACUCGAAGCGGUCUAAAUAUUCAAGAAGCAGAAGCCGUGACAGAAGAAGAAGUAGAGAUAGGCCAAGUCGAAGCAGACGUGACAGAUCCAGAAGUAGGUCACCAAUGUCAUCAAGGCGGCGACAUGAUGGAAACAGGGAUGACCCAGAGCCCAGCAAGUGUCUUGGAGUGUUUGGUCUGAGCUUGUACACGCAGGAGCGUGACCUGCGGGAGGUGUUUGGCAGGUAUGGAGAAAUGGAAGAAUGCAAUGUUGUCUAUGACAGACAGAGUGGAAGAUCCCGAGGAUUUGCCUUUGUGUAUUACAGAAAUGUUGAUGAUGCUAUAGAGGCAAAAGACAGAUGUACAGGAUUGGAAAUUGAUGGCAGAAGAAUACGUGUUGACUAUUCAAUAACAAGAAGGGCACACACACCUACACCUGGCAUCUAUCUUGGCAAACCAACCAGCCGCAGUGAAAGGUAUGACGAGAGGGACCGUUAUGAUGAUGGUUACCGUGGUGGAUACAACAGAAGACGUUCUCCCUCCCCGUAUUACAGUAGACGACGUAGACACUCGUAUUCCAGAUCUAGGUCAAGAUCGUAUUCACCACGCUUGAAGACAGAAAAUGGAAGAAUAAAGCUUGAAGAUAGAAAAUUUGGAAAAGUUGUUUAUAGAUGAAAAAAUAGAAGAAAAUCGGGGUAGAGGAUAAAAGCUGUCAGGGUUGAAGAUAAACCUGUCAGGGUAGAGGAUAAAAGCUGUCAGGGUUGAAGAUAAAACCUGUCAGGGUAGAAGAAUGAAGAAUUAAAGUUAAAUAGGAGAAGCCAAAGUCAUCAAGUCUUUAGCUUAUUGAAGAUCUUGAAGAUGCUAGAAAUUGAGUAUGUGGCAUAUAUCAAUAAUUGGUUUUGAAGAAAGAAAAAUGAGAAAAUUUUGGAUAGGAAGAUCAAUGUAGUCAGAAAUGAAGAGAAAUGUGAAGAAAUCUAGAAAAAAGGGUAGAAAGAAAAAGGAUAAAAGAAGUAGAAGAAAGAAAAAAGAAGGAAAGGGAGAAUGGUAAAAUAUUCAGAACUGUUUGUCAACAUAACUCGUUUCCCUGGUAUUUACAUAUUAAACAAUAUAAAAUGGGUAAAUGUAUAGUAUUCAUCUGACCAAUUUGGUUUUGAUGAAUAAUAAAAUUAUGUCCAUUCAGAAUCUUUAUCUGAAAGUAUUAAGGAAAGGGCUUAUUUUCAUUUUGGGUUUCUGUCCUUUGUCUUUGGCAACAGUCUAAGUCUUUAGUUAAUUAUCCAGUAUUUUCUUGCGUUGACAGAUAGAUUUGAAUAUGAUCAGUUUUGUGUCUGUGCAAGUCGUUUAAAGAAAUAGUAUACCAAUUAAGUUUUUCAUGUGAUUGAAUAUUUUAAAUCUUAAAAAGAUAUGAUUGAAUAUGUUGACACUUUCAGCACCUGUUGAAAGUAUAUUUUUCAGCUGGAUCAUCAGAAGAUUUGAAGAUACCUCUUUUUAUAUGUGUGAUGCUGUGGUGAACAUGUUCUUUUUUCAAAGUAAAUGGAAAGGAUUUUGUUUUUAAGUUUGGUUGGUUAAUUUCAGCACUCAACUGACACUGUAUUCUGUUCCUGCUUGUCUUUGAUUUUAUUUGAUAGAAAUGGCAUUGAUGCCUUUUGAAGGAUAUGUCUACAGUGAAAUGAAGAAAUACAUUUUUGGACAACAAAUGUUCUAUUAUAUACCAUAACAGUUAAAUUAGUAACUCUGGUUAGUAAAAAGAGCAUUACCUUUGUCAUUUGUAACAUACAUGUUCAUGGUAUCACUGAUUUGAAGUGAUAAAAAUGUUUUGGCAGCAAGUGUAAACUUUCUCUGUUUAGAAGUAUUUUUAUUGUGUACAAUGCUGUUUUGCAGGGUCUCAAUGGCCUGUGUCACGUUAUAGACAGCUCUGGUACCCUUCACAACAUGAUCAACAUUAUCUGUACUAGUUAUAUGUACCCUUGAUUUGACUAAUUCUGUUUAAUAAAUAGUAACCACACUUGA